GCUUGCGUAGCUCAAUCGGUAGAGCGUGAGACUCUUAAUCUCAAGGUUGCGGGUAAGUUCAUCAUCCACGACAGGUCCUCUCGGUGAUCUGAGCUAACAUUCCUCGUCAGGUUCGACCCCCGCCGUGAGCU